GGGGCAUGUGCACACCCGAGCCAUCCCCAACAAACACCGUGGGCCUUCGGGCCCGCGUAUAUUUACUCUGAAUGUGUAUAGAAUGUAAACCAUUUGUUUGCCCUGAAAAAGCAAACGAAAAAAAAGUACAACUUUCAACAACGGAUCUCUUGGCUCUCGCAUCGAUGAAGAACGCAGCGAAAUGCGAUAAGUAAUGUGAAUUGCAGAUUUUCAGUGAAUCAUCGAAUCUUUGAACGCACCUUGCGCCCCUUGGUAUUCCGAGGGGCAUGCCUGUUUGAGUGUCAUUAAAUCCUCAACCGCGCCGAUUGAUUUCGGUGGGGCUUGGACUUUGGAGCGUGCUGGCGAAGGUCGGCUCCUCUUUAAAUGCAUCAGCGGAAGAAACCUUUGUCUUUCCUGCCUUCGGUGUGAUAAUCGUGUUGCGCCGUGGUGGAACUUCAACGAUCCGCUUACAAUGGUCUUCGGACGAAACCUCAUGUCAUCUG
rnacentral:rRNA from 1 species